UACGCAGGCGGCUUUGCAAGACAGGUGUGAAAUCCCCGGGCCUAACCUGGGAACUGCAUUUGUGACUGCAUGGCUAGAGUUUGUCAGAGGGGGGUGGAAUUCCACGUGUAGCAGUGAAAUGCGUAGAUAUGUGGAGGAACACCGAUGGCGAAGGCAGCCCCCUGGGAUGUGACUGACGCUCAUGUACGAAAGCGUGGGAGCAAACA
rnacentral:rRNA from 1 species